UACGUAGGGUGCAAGCGUUGUCCGGAAUUAUUGGGCGUAAAGAGCUCGUAGGCGGUCUGUCGCGUCUGCUGUGAAAACUCGGGGCUUAACCCCGGGCCUGCAGUGGGUACGGGCAGACUAGAGUGCGGUAGGGGAGAGUGGAAUUCCUGGUGUAGCGGUGAAAUGCGCAGAUAUCAGGAGGAACACCGGUGGCGAAGGCGGGUCUCUGGGCCGUAACUGACGCUGAGGAGCGAAAGCAUGGGGAGCGAACAGG
rnacentral:rRNA from 1 species